GGGGUUGUGGCUCAGAGGUAGAGCGCUCGCCUAGCAUGUGUGAGGCACUGGGUUUGAUCCUCAGCACCA
rnacentral:tRNA from 1 species